rnacentral:rRNA from 1 species
GACGAACGCUGGCGGCGUGCCUAAUACAUGCAAGUAGAACGCACAGUUUAUACCGUAGCUUGCUACACCAUAGACUGUGAGUUGCGAACGGGUGAGUAACGCGUAGGUAACCUGCCUGGUAGCGGGGGAUAACUAUUGGAAACGAUAGCUAAUACCGCAUAAUAUUGAUUAUUGCAUGAUAAUUAAUUGAAAGGUGCAAUUGCACCACUACCAGAUGGACCUGCGUUGUAUUAGCUAGUAGGUGAGGUAACGGCUCACCUAGGCGACGAUACAUAGCCGACCUGAGAGGGUGAUCGGCCACACUGGGACGGAGACACGGCCCAGACUCCUACGGGAGGCAGCAGUAGGGAAUCUUCGGCAAUGGACGAAAGUCUGACCGAGCAACGCCGCGUGAGUGAAGAAGGUUUUCGGAUCGUAAAGCUCUGUUGUAAGAGAAGAACGGGUGUGAGAGUGGAAAGUUCACACUGUGACGGUAUCUGACCAGAAAGGGACGGCUAACUACGUG